GAUGAACGCUGGCGGCGUGCUUAACACAUGCCAGUCGAACGGAAAGGCCCAAGCUUGCUUGGGUACUCGAGUGGCGAACGGGUGAGUAACACGUGGGUGAUCUGCCCUGCACUUCGGGAUAAGCCUGGGAAACUGGGUCUAAUACCGGAUAGGACCACUUCUUGGAUGUUGUGGUGGAAAGUUUUUCGGUGUGGGAUGAGCUCGCGGCCUAUCAGCUUGUUGGUGGGGUAAUGGCCUACCAAGGCGUCGACGGGUAGCCGGCCUGAGAGGGUGUACGGCCACAUUGGGACUGAGAUACGGCCCAGACUCCUACGGGAGGCAGCAGUGGGGAAUAUUGCACAAUGGGCGCAAGCCUGAUGCAGCGACGCCGCGUGGGGGAUGACGGCCUUCGGGUUGUAAACUCCUUUCGCUAGGGACGAAGCUUAUUUUGUGACGGUACCUGGAGAAGAAGCACCGGCUAACUACGU
rnacentral:rRNA from 1 species